rnacentral:rRNA from 1 species
AAAGGAAUAGACGGGGGCCCGCACAAGCGGCGGAGCAUGUGGAUUAAUUCGAUGCAACGCGAAGAACCUUACCUGGGCUUGACAUACACCGGACCGGCGUAGAGAUACGUCUUCCCUUGUGGCCGGUGUACAGGUGGUGCAUGGUUGUCGUCAGCUCGUGUCGUGAGAUGUUGGGUUAAGUCCCGCAACGAGCGCAACCCUUGUCUUAUGUUGCCAGCACGUGAUGGUGGGGACUCAUGAGAGACUGCCGGGGUCAACUCGGAGGAAGGUGGGGAUGACGUCAAAUCAUCAUGCCCCUUAUGUCCAGGGCUUCACACAUGCUACAAUGGUCGGUACAGCAGGUCGCGAACUCGUGAGAGUAAGCCAAUCCUUCAAAGCCGGCCUCAGUUCGGAUUGGGGUCUGCAACUCGACCCCAUGAAGUCGGAGUCGCUAGUAAUCGCAGAUCAGCAACGCUGCGGUGAAUACGUUCCCGGGCCUUGUACACACCGCCCGU